rnacentral:tRNA from 1 species
AAGGCCUUAAGUUAAAUAAACUAAUAACCUUCAAAGCUAUAAAUAAAGGGCUCCCUUUAGGCCUUG